UACGAAGGGGGCUAGCGUUGCUCGGAAUCACUGGGCGUAAAGCGCACGUAGGCGGAUCGUUAAGUCGGAGGUGAAAUCCUGGAGCUCAACUCCAGAACUGCCUUCGAUACUGGCGAUCUUGGAGUCCGGGAGAGGUGAGUGGAACUCCGAGUGUAGAGGUGAAAUUCGUAGAUAUUCGCAAGAACACCAGUGGCGAAGGCGGCUCACUGGCCCGGUACUCGACGCUGAGGUGCGAAAGCGUGGGGAGCAAACAGGAU
rnacentral:rRNA from 1 species